rnacentral:rRNA from 1 species
GACGAACGCUGGCGGCGUGCUUAACACAUGCAAGUCGAACGGAAAGGCCCUUCUUUUGUGGGGUGCUCGAGUGGCGAACGGGUGAUUAACACGUGCGUAACCUUCCCUUGACUUUGGGAUAACUUCAGGAAACUGGGGCUAAUACCGGAUAGGAGCUCCUGCUGCAUGGUGGGGGUUGGAAAGUUUCGGCGGUUGGGGAUGGACUCGCGGCUUAUCAGCUUGUUGGUGGGGUAGUGGCUUACCAAGGCUUUGACGGGUAGCCGGCCUGAGAGGGUGACCGGCCACAUUGGGACUGAGAUACGGCCCAGACUCCUACGGGAGGCAGCAGUGGGGAAUAUUGCACAAUGGGCGGAAGCCUGAUGCAGCAACGCCGCGUGCGGGAUGACGGCCUUCGGGUUGUAAACCGCUUUCGCCUGUGACGAAGCGUGAGUGACGGUAAUGGGUAAAGAAGCACCGGCUAACUACGUG